rnacentral:rRNA from 1 species
UACGUAGGUGGCAAGCGUUGUCCGGAAUUAUUGGGCGUAAAGCGCGCGCAGGCGGCUACUUAAGUCCAUCUUAAAAGUGCGGGGCUUAACCCCGUGAUGGGAUGGAAACUGAGAAGCUGGAGUGUCGGAGAGGAAAGUGGAAUUCCUAGUGUAGCGGUGAAAUGCGUAGAGAUUAGGAAGAACACCGGUGGCGAAGGCGACUUUCUGGACGACAACUGACGCUUAGGCGCGAAAGCGUGGGGAGCAAACA